UGAAGUGCAUGGCCUUGAUCAUGCCUAUAUUUGAGGGUCAUUCGAUCAUGUCAUAAGAUUUUCCCAAAAUCAAUCUCAAUGAAGAGGGUGUUGAAAUCAAGGAAACAUUUGAGGGCAUUCCAUAAAUGUUUCCCCUUCAACAUUAGGAAAUCCGGUGCCUCAUCCUAUCACUGAUGACAACAUUAGGAAAUCUGGAGACAUUGUCGGGGCCCCCGGGAGGAAUUAUCUUUUCUUUUUAACAUCUUGUCCACCUUGAAAUUGGCUCAAUGAGAGAUAGGGUCCAACAGAUUGAAGAGCAUCACACAUCUUGUGGUGUACGGUGUGCCCUCGAUGACCCUUGAAAAUCUGGAGGACCGAGUACCGUCCAUGCCCGAUCGUACUCAUAACCGCAUCGGGUCUCCAAGGUGAACAUCCUUUG
rnacentral:ncRNA from 1 species